UACAGAGGUCUCAAGCGUUGUUCGGAUUCAUUGGGCGUAAAGGGUGCGUGAGGCGGCGCGGUAAGUCGGGUGUGAAAUCAUUGGAGCUUAACUCCGAAACUGCAUUCGAUACUGCCGUGCUUGAGGACUGGAGAGGAGUACGUGGAAUUACGGUGAGCGGUGAAAUGCGUAGAUAUCGUAAGGAAGACCGUGGCGAAGCGGCA
rnacentral:rRNA from 1 species